CAAAACUGGUACGACGCUCCUCUACGUCAAGUAAAGUUCUAGCAGGGAGCGAUCUCGCCGGGGCGUAAAUGUCAAUUGCGGAGAGCAGCGCCGGCGAGUCGAUGCAUUUGUUAAGUAGUCCAGCGACGAAAAGUCUUUGCGCGUCCAGGCUCCAGGCCAAGUAACGCGCAGCGUCCAGUGUAGUCAACCUGGAUACUCCAGCGACGCAGCACAAUCCGUGUAAAUUUACGCUGGAUGGAAUCCAGGCGCGCCCCUGAGAGCGUGCAGAUGUGGGCCACCACACCACGGAUGCGUAUUCCACCACCGACCGAACUAAGGAGCAAUACAGCAUCUUAACGGCGACCGAGUCGGUAAUGUCGCGCGCAAGCUUUUUUAAGGAUCCCGACUACCUGAUUGACCUUAGUGACGACGUGUGCAAGCUAAUCAUGGAAGCUCAACUUCUCAUCAGGGAGCACUCCUAGAUCCCUAACGCAGCUUUUACGGUCAAGGUCGGUACCGUUUAAAGUAUACAUGCGAAUAAGGGGAUUUCGCUUCCUGGCGAACGAAACGUCAACGCACUUCUCGACGCAUAACUGCAAACCAUUCGCACAGCACCAGGACUGGAACGCACACAGGGUGUCCUGAAGACGCUGCUGAUCUUCCUGGCAGCGUAUUGGUUGGAACAAUUUCGCAUCAUCCGCGUAAAGCAGGAAACUGUCAGGAGGAAGCACACGUGUGACGUCGUUCAGAAAGACCACGAAAAGAAGCGGGCCAAGGUUACUCCCUUGUGGUACACCGGAGGAGGCGCUGAUGCAAUGGGAAGUGAGGUUCCCCAACUUCACACGAUAUGUACGGUUGGUGAGGUAGGGCCGCAUCCAGUUGAGCAUUUGACCCGGUAGACCAAGGACUUGAAGCUUGGCAAGCAGCAGCGAAUGCGGAACACUGUCGAAGGCUGCCUUGACAUCCGUAUAAAUCGCGUCGACCUGGAAGCCUGCAUCGAUGGUCCUGUGGCAGAGGCUGACAAACUCGACGAGAUUGGUAGAAGUUGAGUGCUUGGGGACAAACCCAUGCUGAGCGGCGCUGAUGUAGUUCGAUGCAGCAGAGAGAAGUGGCUCGUACAUAAGCAGCUCGAAGACUUUUGCGUUGGCACAGAGCGAGGUUAUGCCGCGAUAAUUUUUAGCGUUGGAUUUGUCCCACUUUUUGUGCACCGGGUAUAGCCACGAGGUUUUCCAACUGGCAGGGAAAACACCCAACCUCAAAGACUCCCGAAAAAUUGUUACCAAUAUGGGGGCAACAGCGGUGGCGUACCGUUUCAGUACGGAUGGUGGAAUGCCAUCAGGACCCGGAGCGAACGAAGGUUUCAAACGGUUAAUUGCCCAAAUGAUCGAUGAGGUUUCGAUGAAUGGCUAUGGCCUAGGAGCCAAAGCAUCUGCUGGAACGUUUAUGAGUGCAUUCGUUAUGACCCUUUCAUCUGUGACCUCCGGCUGGAACGUAUCGGCAAAGCGCGCAGCGUUUUGGCGUAUCUUUUUGUUAUCUCACAUUCAUGGAUGCUACCUUAAUUCUUAAUCUUAGGGCUAAUGAAUAGAUAUUAUCGUAGCUAAUCGACGCCAUCUUGACAUACAGGAAAUCUUACUGGACUAAGUAAAACGUCACAUCAAAACCAAUUUCUUAUGGGAACGCCUAGUACCUUAUGCACAAGAUUUAAGAAAUAGUUGAUGUGAAAAAAGUAGAACAUGAUAUUUUUAAUAAAAUGAUAGCACGUAUGCUAUACUACUAUUUGAUACAUAUAAGACGACGCCACUUAACGCCUAUCCAGUAAUUGCAUCAAGUCAAAUUUUAAAAAAACAUGUCUUUUUUCAUGAGUGUAUCACACGGUUUAUCAAAAUUUUAUAUGAAAUUUGCCAAAAUUCACAAACAUGCAAAUGUUUAUAAAUUUUUUUUUUCCAAAUUAGACUAUAAUUUUUAAUUUGUCCGUAGAUGUUUUAUUAGCCUCGAAACCACAUGAGAUAGGGUCCCAAUAUUUUGAUUUUAACCUAGUUUAUUCCUACAGCUUAAAAACUCAUACCUGUUUUGUCGCGUGUAGAAAGUUGAAUUAUUAUUAAGUUGUAGUUUCAUCCCGCCAACAGACCUAUGUGCAUAGAUGAGUAACCGAACCUAUCGUAAGCGUGUCACUAAUAAAUAGUUUGUCUGAGUGAUUGCCGUGUACUCGUGGUUAGGUAUGCAAAAAAAAAAACAAUCAUUUCACUAGCGUUGGUGUCUCGUCCAACAUCGUACGUAUUGUAUUGCAAUUGUAUUUUAAACGACAUUCUUAGCCCUGUGUAUACUGUUGCUGCGGGAAAAAAUCUGGAAUGCGAGUUCCGCCACCGUGGAGUUGACCGCGCUAAAGUCGGAUAACUGCGGAAACUCUCGCGCAAGUUUCCACGCACCUUUCAGUUCAACUGGUGAUCAGACGUUAGGCUUUUUCCUGGAUUGACCAGGAUUAUUUCCUACCGGUGGAUUGUUGUUUUCACGUUCGGCGUGUUUAAAAUUCAAGUGAGAUUUAUUAACAAUUUUUCUACUUAUAUACUAACAAUGUAUGGUUGUGGUUGUGCGUAUGUGCAUAUGCAUAAUGGGGAUAUUGAAUAGUUCGAUUGCGUUUGUCAUAUUCGUUUUUUUCUAUUUUCAUCUUAAAUAGACGCAUUGUCAGAGGUCUGUUUUGAUGCUACAUCGUGCCUAGUCCUAAAUGUAUUUAAGGUUUUAUUGCUUCCGAAUAAUUGAAUUUUCAAUUUUUCAUGAUAAUUAUACCAGUUCACUGUUGACCUCCGUGCUGAUCAAAACCAAAUCUAAUGUGAUCGACUCAUUCAAUGUCGAAUUCUACUCUUUCGAAGUCGUUAGCAAGACAAGAAUGUCCAAACGAGGUACUACAUUGGUUUAAUACCAUCCAAUUGGGAAAAGUCUACUCUAACGAAUGAACGAAUGAAUAGUUCCACAUACUUCUAGAUGUAUAGGUAACAAAAAAAAUCAUAAUGGAAUUUUAAAAAUAAAUAACAUGGAGAUUGGAGAUUGGUUGAAUUGGUAGAGUUAUGUCUGUUAAGGAUGAGGAUUGAGCAUCGAACUGAAGGAAUCAAGCAGGAAGGAUAAACGCCGCUCACGAGCGAUCCCGAGUGCGUAUCGGGUUAGGAUUAGAUUUAAGAUAGAAGUUAAGAAUAAAGUAGUAUUGUAAUAGAAGCAAAACCGAACGAUCGCCAAUUUAUUUCCUCGUCUACAAUUUCACUAACAUAAAAAUUGGUCCUUCGAACCGGAUACCAUUAGUUACUGAUUAAAUUGGCAAUCGUUUUAAGAAGUUUGUGUUGUUUAAUAAUAGAAUGUCUAAUCCGGAGCUAACAGCGUUUGUGGAUGUGCAAGCGGCGUCGAGUCCGAUCGAAACGCAAGCCUCGAUGGCGGGAAUAAUCGGGCGUUACCACGCACAUAUACUACGCCGUUUGGAAUCGCUGAAAGUGGCUUUGGAAUCAACGCAGGAUGCUGAUGCAUCAUAUCUUCAAGAGUGUACGGAGCAGUUAAAAUCCAUCGCAUCAUCCUUUGAGAGCAAAUACACGGCGAUCAUGGAAAGCAGCAAUGCCAUCAGUACAGAGGAGGAAGAGAGACAAUAUGCAGAGGUUGAGCAGCGACGCUUCGAGUUGUCUGUAGUGCUGAAACGGCGCGAAGCGGCGUUGUGUGCGUCGGCGAACGUUACGCACUCGCCAGGAGUGUCAAACCCCAAAUCGAAAGAGCGUUUACCAGAAAUUCCGUUGCCUAAGUUCGAAGGCACGUUGGAAGCUUGGCCGACUUUCCGUGACGCAUUUGGUAGUAUGAUUGACCAGCAUCCGAGCUUAUCCGACGUCGAUAAGCUCAUUUACCUGAAACGCGUGGUAUCCAAGGAGGCAGCUCAAGUGAUUGAAGCAGUGGAAACUACAGCAGCCAAUUACAACAUCGCAUGGGAACUACUUAAGAGUAGAUACGAGAACAAGAAAGUAUUGGUGCGCCGUUAUUUGGAGGAACUCUUCGCAAUUCCCGCGGCAAAGCGUGAAAGCUUCGAGUCACUCACCAAUUUGCUGGAUGGCUUCGAGCGAGCCAUCAAAAUGGUCGAAAAGGUUGGUGUUGUUACAGAUGGCUGGAGUGUGCUUCUAGCCCACAUGUUGUGCGAUAGAUUAGACGCGAAUACUCGAAAGCUAUGGGAAACGCAUCACCGAAGUGUAGAAGUGGCUGAAUACACUGAAAUAGUGCAGUUUUUGAAGCAGCAUGUAGUAGUGUUACAAGCAUUGCCUCAGACGAAGGAGCAGGUAUCAACGAGCACACACACCAACCACGGACGACAAAAGCUAAAGCAGGCAUGUGCAACCCUGAACGUGAUUGCGGAAAAAUGCGUUUUUUGUUCGCAAGAUUACCACUCUGCGUUUAAGUGCCAGACUUUUCGUAAUAUUUCGGUGAUGGAACGGUACAACUUAAUCAAGGCAAAGGGGCUUUGCAUCAAUUGUUUGGCAGUGGACCAUCGCGUGAAGGAGUGUGCAUCGAGUACAUGUCGAGUGUGCAAGUUAAAGCACCAUACCAUGUUGCAUAGGUCGCCAGUCGAAUCAACCCCCAACCCGAACACUUCUGUAGCUGCUGCCGAUAGAGAUCCUGCGCAACCCGUCGAAUCGAAAAGGGAAACCGGAAAUCAGGCGGUGAUGCUAACCCCAGCUGAGAUGAAAGCCGUACCCGUAACCACGACUGCUGUUUUACUCCCGACAGUCUCAGUUACGGUUUGGACACCUGAUGGAAACCAGACAAUUGCACGAGCUCUACUCGACGGUGGAGCACAGAUCAAUCUAAUCACCGAACGAUUGGUCCAGCGACUACGAGUUACCAAACAACGAGAUCAUCAAACGAUUGGUGCUGUAGGCAGAGGCAGCCAAACUUCAUCGCAUUCGGUAAACGUUACAAUAGGUUCGCAAGUUACUAAUGUUUGUUAUCCUUUAAGGUAGCACGUUCUGUCGGAAAUUAUGUGGAAUCUUCCGCCAGCUAAAGUAGAUCAGCAGCUUUGGGAAAUACCGAAGAAUAUUAGGCUUGCCGACCCGACUUGUGGUGAAGUUGGUAUCAUCGAUAUGCUUCUAGGCAGAGAAGUAUACAACGACAUACUGAUGGAUGGAGUACUAAGACUUCAAUCGAAGUGUGACAAAUUGCUGCUGCAGGAGACCCAAUUGGGUUGGAUUGUUUCGGGAAAGUCAUCGGUACUUCAGAAUCAGCGACCGCAUCUCGUGAACCUUACCUGUAGCGAACCAGCGUUAGAUGAACAACUUACCAAAUUCUGGGAAAUCGAAUCAUGUCACACGUUAAGUACCUUUUCACCCGAAGAAUCGAAAUGCGAAGAUAUAUUUGAUAGAACCACUAAGCGAGGGCCAGAUGGAAGAUACAUAGUCGCACUUCCAAAGGAUCGAGUUAAGAUCAAGAAGCUAGGAUCCUCGUACACCAUCGCCAAACGACGACUCCACUCGUUGAGCCGUCGGCUUAAUGCCAACCCUGAUUUGAAGGCACAAUAUCAGGAGUUUUUGAAUGAAUAUCUGCGAUUAGGGCACAUGGUAGAAAUCGAUCCUGAUCCAGUAAAUGAAAAGAUUGCUUAUUACAUGCCGCAUCAUUGCAUCGUACGACCGGAUAGUCUCACGACGAAACUACGAGUGGUUUUCGAUGCCUCUUGUUCGACGGAUUCCGGAAUAUCAUUAAAUGAUGCAUUGCUAGUCGGUCCGGUAAUUCAAGAAGAUCUAUUGAGCAUUAUAUUGCGUUUUCGUAUGCCAAAAUAUGCGCUAACGGCGGACAUCGAAAAGAUGUAUCGUCAAGUAUGGAUAGCAGAAGCAGACCGUCCGUUACAACGCAUUCUUUGGGAAGAUACAGAACAUGGUGGAAUUCGUGCGUAUCAACUGAAAACUAUUACAUAUGGAACAUCAUCAGCUCCAUACUUGGCCACCAAGUGUCUGCAAGCAUUAUCAAAAGAGGCAAAGGAAUCGCACCCUGUGGCUUCACAAUCCUUGGCGACAGACUUUUAGAUGGACGACAUGAUUAGUGGUGUAGACACUGUCGAACAAGGCAAGCGUUUAUGCGAAGAAAUGGCCGAGUUGUUGCAGUCUGCUGGUUUUCCUCUAAGGAAGUGGGCAUCUAAUUCAGAGCAGAUUUUGGGUACGCUUCCAACCCAACUGCGUCAAAUGGGUUCGGAGCUGUUGAUAGAUCCCAACAAAUCCAUCAAAGCCCUUGGAUUAAAAUGGUCACCAAAAGCAGACAGCCUAGGUUUCGACAUACCCAAAUGGAAUUGUGACGAACAAAUUUCCAAACGCAGUGUUGUUUCCGACACAGCACGCUUGUUUGAUCCCUUGGGGCUAAUUGGACCAGUUAUUGUAAUCGCAAAAUGCUUCCUGCAGGAACUGUGGGAGAGAAAGAUCGACUGGGAUCAACCGCUGGAUGGAGACUUGCAACAAAGGUGGAUGAAUUUUAAGCAAGACAUGACUCAUGUUGCAGAGAUAACGGUCCCACGUCGAGUGAUAGCUGAAGGCGCAGAAGUCAUAGAGUUACACGGCUUUAGUAAUGCAUCGGAAAAGGCGUAUGGUGCCUGCAUCUAUAUGCGAACUACAUCGGUGUAUGGUACCCACUUGGCAGAAAUCGCAUGAGAGGGGGGAAAUUUCUUCAUUCUCGCUACCCCUGACCCUCACUUUCGAGCGAUCGUACGACAAACUCUCACUCCACCACCCUACCUCACUCACACACGCUCCUAUAUUCUAUGUAAACCCUCACCGCAACCUGCGUCACCAACCCACCCCACAUCUGAACGGUCCCAUACUCGAAGUGUUAGACAAUUUUGGUUCCACACUUUGAAGCCUGUCGAGGAGUGUGGCACUAUAUUGUUUUUCGCUGUCUCCUUUCUUUCACUGCAAAAUUGCUUUUGCCCUGUCUUUGGCGUAUUCAUAUGAGUUUGGCCUUUGCUGGAGGCGGAGGUGUGUGCGCAAGCGUUAUCGUGUUUUGUGAAGUGAUUCUUUGCUCCGUGAAUCCCAUCGAGUCGAUCAGCUGAUGGAAAGAGUUUGGCCGUGAAGCGGAAAGGGUGAAGCCGGAGUUAAACCGCAGGAUGGCAGGACAAAUCACAUCGAGAGAGAGUGCUGAAUACUCGCCGUCUUGAGAGAAACCUCUGCCGAACAUAGGAACCCCAUCCCACCGUCCGCUUCGCAGAACGCCGGCAGUUUUUUCUACCUGUUCGUCGCAUGAUGAGCGUAUGUGCAAUAAAAAAAGGGAUCGUAUGUAUUUC